GGGUUGUGAGGUUAAGCGACUAAGCGUACACGGUGGAUGCCCUGGCAGUCAGAGGCGAUGAAGGACGUGCUAAUCUGCGAUAAGCGUCGGUAAGGUGAUAUGAACCGUUAUAACCGGCGAUUUCCGAAUGGGGAAACCCAGUGUGAUUCGUCACACUAUCAUUAACUGAAUCCAUAGGUUAAUGAGGCGAACCGGGGGAACUGAAACAUCUAAGUACCCCGAGGAAAAGAAAUCAACCGAGAUUCCCCCAGUAGCGGCGAGCGAACGGGGAGCAGCCCAGAGCCUGAAUCAGUGUGUGUGUUAGUGGAAGCGUCUGGAAAGGCGCGCGAUACAGGGUGACAGCCCCGUACACAAAAAUGCACAUACUGUGAGCUCGAUGAGUAGGGCGGGACACGUGGUAUCCUGUCUGAAUAUGGGGGGACCAUCCUCCAAGGCUAAAUACUCCUGACUGACCGAUAGUGAACCAGUACCGUGAGGGAAAGGCGAAAAGAACCCCGGCGAGGGGAGUGAAAAAGAACCUGAAACCGUGUACGUACAAGCAGUGGGAGCACCUUAGGCGUGUGACUGCGUACCUUUUGUAUAAUGGGUCAGCGACUUAUAUUCUGUAGCAAGGUUAACCGAAUAGGGGAGCCGAAGGGAAACCGAGUCUUAACUGGGCGUUAAGUUGCAGGGUAUAGACCCGAAACCCGGUGAUCUAGCCAUGGGCAGGUUGAAGGUUGGGUAACACUAACUGGAGGACCGAACCGACUAAUGUUGAAAAAUUAGCGGAUGACUUGUGGCUGGGGGUGAAAGGCCAAUCAAACCGGGAGAUAGCUGGUUCUCCCCGAAAGCUAUUUAGGUAGCGCCUCGUGAAUUCAUCUCCGGGGGUAGAGCACUGUUUCGGCAAGGGGGUCAUCCCGACUUACCAACCCGAUGCAAACUGCGAAUACCGGAGAAUGUUAUCACGGGAGACACACGGCGGGUGCUAACGUCCGUCGUGAAGAGGGAAACAACCCAGACCGCCAGCUAAGGUCCCAAAGUCAUGGUUAAGUGGGAAACGAUGUGGGAAGGCCCAGACAGCCAGGAUGUUGGCUUAGAAGCAGCCAUCAUUUAAAGAAAGCGUAAUAGCUCACUGGUCGAGUCGGCCUGCGCGGAAGAUGUAACGGGGCUAAACCAUGCACCGAAGCUGCGGCAGCGACGCUUAUGCGUUGUUGGGUAGGGGAGCGUUCUGUAAGCCUGUGAAGGUGUACUGUGAGGUAUGCUGGAGGUAUCAGAAGUGCGAAUGCUGACAUAAGUAACGAUAAAGCGGGUGAAAAGCCCGCUCGCCGGAAGACCAAGGGUUCCUGUCCAACGUUAAUCGGGGCAGGGUGAGUCGACCCCUAAGGCGAGGCCGAAAGGCGUAGUCGAUGGGAAACAGGUUAAUAUUCCUGUACUUGGUGUUACUGCGAAGGGGGGACGGAGAAGGCUAUGUUGGCCGGGCGACGGUUGUCCCGGUUUAAGCGUGUAGGCUGGUUUUCCAGGCAAAUCCGGAAAAUCAAGGCUGAGGCGUGAUGACGAGGCACUACGGUGCUGAAGCAACAAAUGCCCUGCUUCCAGGAAAAGCCUCUAAGCAUCAGGUAACAUCAAAUCGUACCCCAAACCGACACAGGUGGUCAGGUAGAGAAUACCAAGGCGCUUGAGAGAACUCGGGUGAAGGAACUAGGCAAAAUGGUGCCGUAACUUCGGGAGAAGGCACGCUGAUAUGUAGGUGAAGUCCCUCGCGGAUGGAGCUGAAAUCAGUCGAAGAUACCAGCUGGCUGCAACUGUUUAUUAAAAACACAGCACUGUGCAAACACGAAAGUGGACGUAUACGGUGUGACGCCUGCCCGGUGCCGGAAGGUUAAUUGAUGGGGUUAGCGCAAGCGAAGCUCUUGAUCGAAGCCCCGGUAAACGGCGGCCGUAACUAUAACGGUCCUAAGGUAGCGAAAUUCCUUGUCGGGUAAGUUCCGACCUGCACGAAUGGCGUAAUGAUGGCCAGGCUGUCUCCACCCGAGACUCAGUGAAAUUGAACUCGCUGUGAAGAUGCAGUGUACCCGCGGCAAGACGGAAAGACCCCGUGAACCUUUACUAUAGCUUGACACUGAACAUUGAGCCUUGAUGUGUAGGAUAGGUGGGAGGCUUUGAAGUGUGGACGCCAGUCUGCAUGGAGCCGACCUUGAAAUACCACCCUUUAAUGUUUGAUGUUCUAACGUGGACCCGUAAUCCGGGUUGCGGACAGUGUCUGGUGGGUAGUUUGACUGGGGCGGUCUCCUCCUAAAGAGUAACGGAGGAGCACGAAGGUUGGCUAAUCCUGGUCGGACAUCAGGAGGUUAGUGCAAUGGCAUAAGCCAGCUUGACUGCGAGCGUGACGGCGCGAGCAGGUGCGAAAGCAGGUCAUAGUGAUCCGGUGGUUCUGAAUGGAAGGGCCAUCGCUCAACGGAUAAAAGGUACUCCGGGGAUAACAGGCUGAUACCGCCCAAGAGUUCAUAUCGACGGCGGUGUUUGGCACCUCGAUGUCGGCUCAUCACAUCCUGGGGCUGAAGUAGGUCCCAAGGGUAUGGCUGUUCGCCAUUUAAAGUGGUACGCGAGCUGGGUUUAGAACGUCGUGAGACAGUUCGGUCCCUAUCUGCCGUGGGCGCUGGAGAACUGAGGGGGGCUGCUCCUAGUACGAGAGGACCGGAGUGGACGCAUCACUGGUGUUCGGGUUGUCAUGCCAAUGGCACUGCCCGGUAGCUAAAUGCGGAAGAGAUAAGUGCUGAAAGCAUCUAAGCACGAAACUUGCCCCGAGAUGAGUUCUCCCUGACUCCUUGAGAGUCCUGAAGGAACGUUGAAGACGACGACGUUGAUAGGCCGGGUGUGUAAGCGCAGCGAUGCGUUGAGCUAACCGGUACUAAUGAACCGUGAGGCUUAACCUUACAACGCCGAAG
rnacentral:rRNA from 1 species